UGAAUUCAGCGGCGGCCGGGUGAGUAAUGCCUAGGAAUCUGCCUGGUAGUGGGGGACAACGUUUCGAAAGGAACGCUAAUACCGCAUACGUCCUACGGGAGAAAGUGGGGGAUCUUCGGACCUCACGCUAUCAGAUGAGCCUAGGUCGGAUUAGCUAGUUGGUGAGGUAAUGGCUCACCAAGGCGACGAUCCGUAACUGGUCUGAGAGGAUGAUCAGUCACACUGGAACUGAGACACGGUCCAGACUCCUACGGGAGGCAGCAGUGGGGAAUAUUGGACAAUGGGCGAAAGCCUGAUCCAGCCAUGCCGCGUGUGUGAA
rnacentral:rRNA from 1 species